GCGGGAUUUGUACAGUGGUAGUAUGCGUCCUUCCCAAGGAUGAGACGGCAGUUCGAUUCUGCUAUCCCGCU
rnacentral:tRNA from 1 species